GUCAGGAUGGCUGAGCAGUCUAAGGCACCAGACUCAAAUUCCGGUCUCCAAAUGGAGGUGUGGGUUUGAAUCCCACUUCUGACA
rnacentral:tRNA from 1 species